GCAAACAUGGGAACGGGAUGAACAAGGUCCAUAUUUCCAAUUUGGCCUGAACUCGAAGAAUUAUCAUCAUUCUCCUUGCUACCAUCUUCAAACUUGUGAUCUUGAACCUGUACGGGUGAAUAAUAUGCCUGGGGAUAUUCUAAUCCGACCCCAAAAUCACAACUCAUUUCACCUGAUCCAGAGCAUUUGGGACUUGGGGCAUUAGAAGAACUCCUGCUGCUUGAUCCUGCAGCACCCAUCAACGGUACCAUGUUCAUGAACGAAUCUAUAGGUUGC
rnacentral:misc_RNA from 1 species